UUAUAUAAACCACACAAUGCACAUUUAGAAAUCGUCUGUGACAAUUGUUGAUGUACUUACACCACUGUCCAUAAAUCACCGGACUGUUACUCAUUUUCAGUACAAUGGUUAUUAUAACAAUACAACAUGAAUCCAAUUUUCCUGCUUUAUUCUAUUGUUUAAUUUCGUGAUAUGUAGCCGCUUUACGAUAAUACUCGAAUGAGAAAUUAAACACGUACAUGUAUAAUCGGAAUAAACAUUUAAAAAUUCACUGCAUCCAUAAGCAUCUGUUUGAAAAUUCCUGAGACAAAUUAUAAAAAAUGACAUAUAAUAAAUAGAAGAGCAAGGCAAAUGCACAAAGUAGAUAAACACGGUUAUGACAAUUAUUGGAGAAAGUUGAAACAUAAUCACGGCGGAAAUAUCACAAAGAAAUAAUUGACAGGAUGCCAUAAUUAGUUCAAGCGACGAUAUCGACACGCUGUUGAUUGAAAAAAAAAAAGAAGAAAAUAUAGGAUAUUUUUUUAAUAUUUUUUACGCACAAUUUACAUAUUCUUUAAAUUAUAACCGACUAUUAAACGCUAUUUUAUUUCAUAAUGCGCGACCUUUCGCAAUAAGAAAAUCGCCUGUAUUCAUAUUUUAUUAAAUGUCUGGUGAUUUAUGGAUAUGGACAAGGUGUAUGUAUAUGAGCGAGCCAGUGUACGUCCGAUGAGAGGACACGAAGAUUGGGAAUUUGUGUGCAGCCGAUUCGCGCCCAGUUCUCCUGCGAUAAACUGCGUCGUGUUUCAUAAACUUCCAGCGACACGCUUCCUUUGUCGGCGCCAACGGUAAACACAUGAAUGCUUCUUUCGCUCAGCGCCAACUUCGACUGUAAGUCACCAUAGCCUGUCCUCGCGAAUAGUGUUUACAAGCGCGUAUCUAGCGAAUAGUUUGCUGCGAACGGGCAUAAAUUGAGCAGAGAAUGAAAUUUCCCGCGGCGGAUUCGACCUCGAUUUAUCGUCGGUGAUAGUGACUUGGGAAGGAAUGGAAAAGACAAUAUCUCGUGUCGAUAAACAUGGCUAAGGAAUUCGUUAAUAACGCGAAGAUAAGAAGAAUUACUACGGCAAAGGACGAAGUAACGAAGGCAUCCUUGAAAUGACAUGCUUUCCAGCGUGCUAUCAAUGCACGUUCGAAGAGGACGAUAAGAAACCAAACAGAAGGAGGAGGAGCAUAAGGGAAAGAGAAAGAAAGAGGCAGCUGCACCCCGCAAUGCGGCACAGUUCCUGAUCCGAUGGCAAGCUCAGUCAGCGUCCUCGAGAACAACCCAAGAAUCCACCGAUUUUCCAGCAAUCUUUGCGUAAAAUAGAAAAUUCCAAAGUUUACGAUACGGUCGAAAAUGUUCGUUAUUUUUUAGAGCUUAAAUAUUUGGAAGUUUUACGAAAGUGCAUUUACUGCAGAAAGUUCUUACCUAAUGUACCUACUACGUGUGCGUUAUACGAAACUUUUUGAAAUUUCGCUAGUGGUAUAAUUAAAUAUAGCUAUCGUGAAUAUACUGGUAAAAUCUGUUUCUACUUGGUUAAGCUUAUUUAAGCUUGUAAUAAUUGUAUCCAAUCACUGACUUCGUUAUAUACGUUGACUUAUUCUUUCUUCUCGACUUAUUCUGUCGAUAUUUGGCAACAAGCAAUUAUUCGGCGCAAACGGUAGUUGGUUCGAUGAAUGUUUAAGAGAAACGUGCCAUUUGCGAACGCAUUAGCGAAUAUUUAUGGAGACGUUAAAAGGAUGUACCUUAAUGACUGAAAGCAUUAGCUUUACAUACCGAAGAUGCGAUUGCGAGCAAAGAAACAGUCAACUAAAUUCUUUCGUUAUCAAUCUCCCGUAUCUUAAAAUAAAAGCACGAAACCAAUUAGAAUAGAUUUACUUUGACAUUUACGAUUGAACUUUCGUAGAGUAAAUCGUGUUGUAUAAUGCCUAUUUAAAAUCUUACUUUGUUUAUUCAUCUCUAUAAUCUUACGUAAUUUUACUAGCAACAAAUAGUCGAUCGAUUAUAAUCAACGGUUACUACUUUCGACCGAAAGUAAUAAAUCAUAAUCAUAAUUUCAUUUUCUAAGAAACGAAGCUUUCAAAGCAAUGCCGUUGUUGCUGAUCUUCGCCUUACUUUCAACCAUAGAAUCUCUCUGACUUCGUUUAUACCGCGAAUUUAAGCUCGCUAUGUAUAGCUGCAUCAACGAUCGAAAUUCAAACAAAGGAACAGCCUUCGCGCUCGUUCGUGCACUUGGCUCCGGAUGCGGUCACAGGACAGCCAUAAAAGCUACAAAGAGACCGGUGGUCAGAGAACAGCAUAUUUCGGAUUCUAUCGUGUUCGAUCCGAACAAAUAUCGGCUGGUGAUGGUUCGGCCGAAAAGUGGAACUUCGACGUGACUCGUUCCGAUCAUAGACAAAAGAGGAGAGAUACAAAAGGACCGGUGACAGAGAUCGUCACGAUGGACAGACACGCGACGAAGAGAAGGCCAAGGGUCAGGCGCGGGAUAGCCAGCGAAAGAGGAUGGGGUCGAGCGGAUGAUUCGCCACCGAGGCCAGGAAUCCCGUAAUUUCUGCAACAAAGCGAGCCGUCCAUCUCGCCACUAUGCACUGUACAUGGCACACUGCCGCACUACCCUCCGUACAACAGGGUUAUUAGAUCGUCGUGAUGAACGAGCUAUCACGCUAUCACGUUGGCUCACUCUUCACGGCGCAUCGCGAGGAUACGCGUAAUACGCAAGCACUUGUAUAGCACCGCUCCUUUUCCGCGAUGCUUCCCUUUAUCCGCACUGACUAUGUUUUUGGGUUUUGAAAUUGGCCGAGUUAACCCUUUCGCUGAUAUCGUACUUUUAGAAACGAUUAAUUUGCGAUUUGCAUACGAAUAAUUAAUGAAACGUCGAGUUACUUGUUUUUCAUGAAACUGAUGUCAAAUUUUAGUACAUUAUGUCCUUGUUACAAAACCAGUAAAGAGAAGUAUGUUUCUACGACGUUAAAUAGUACGAAUGGUUUGAUAUUUUGAUUUAUCUUAUGCAGCUUUUUCUAAUACACGUCGUAAAAUAACUUA